rnacentral:rRNA from 1 species
CCCUUAGAUGUUCUGGGCUGCACGCGCGCUACACUGAUGCGCUCAACGAGUUUACGACCUUGCCCGGAAGGGUUGGGUAAUCUUUUUAAAACGCAUCGUGAUGGGGAUAGAUUAUUGCAAUUAUUAAUCUUUAACGAGGAAUUCCUAGUAAGCGCGAGUCAUCAGCUCGUGCUGAUUACGUCCCUGCCCUUUGUACACACCGCCCGUCGCUCCUACCGGUUGAGUGAUCCGGUGAAUAAUUCGGACUGCAGCAGUGUUCAGUUCCUGAACGUUGCAGCGGAAAGUUUAGUGAACCUUAUCACUUAGAGGAAGGAGAAGUCGUAACA